rnacentral:rRNA from 1 species
UGGAUAACCUACCUAUAAGACUGGGAUAACUUCGGGAAGCCGGAGCUAAUACCGGAUAAUAUAUUGAACCGCAUGGUUCAAUAGUGAAAGACGGUUUUGCUGUCACUUAUAGAUGGAUCCGCGCCGCAUUAGCUAGUUGGUAAGGUAACGGCUUACCAAGGCAACGAUGCAUAGCCGACCUGAGAGGGUGAUCGGCCACACUGGAACUGAGACACGGUCCAG